UACAGAGGUCUCAAGCGUUGUUCGGAUUCAUUGGGCGUAAAGGGUGCGUAGGUGGCGCUGUAAGUCGGGUGUGAAAUCUCGGAGCUUAACUCCGAAACUGCAUUCGAUACUGCCGUGCUUGAGGACUGGAGAGGAGACUGGAAUUUACGGUGUAGCGGUGAAAUGCGUAGAUAUCGUAAGGAAGACCAGUGGCGAAGCGGGUCUCUGGACAGUUCCUGACGCUGAGGCACGAAGGCCAGGGGAGCAAACGGG
rnacentral:rRNA from 1 species